UAAUACGUAGGGUGCGAGCGUUAAUCGGAAUUACUGGGCGUAAAGCGUGCGCAGGCGGAUUAUUAAGCAAGACGUGAAAGCCCCGGGCUUAACCUGGGAAUGGCGUUUUGAACUGGUAGUCUAGAGUGCGUCAGAGGGGGGUGGAAUUCCACGUGUAGCAGUGAAAUGCGUAGAGAUGUGGAGGAACACCGAUGGCGAAGGCAGCCCCCUGGGAUGACACUGACGCUCAUGUACGAAAGCGUGGGUAGCAAACAGGAUUAGAUACCCUGGUAGUCCACGCCCUAAACGAUGUCAACUGGUUGUUGGGGGAGUGAAAUCCCUUAGUAACGAAGCUAACGCGUGAAGUUGACCGCCUGGGGAGUACGGUCGCAAGAUUAAAACUUAAAUGAAUUGACGG
rnacentral:rRNA from 1 species